rnacentral:rRNA from 1 species
UACGGGGGGGGGUUAGUGUUAUUCAUCUUGACUGGGUGUAAAAUGUAUGAAGGCGGUUUAUUGUGUUUGACACAAAGAAUCUAAGCGUAACUUAGAAAUUGUAUUUUAUACUAAUAGACUAGAGGCCAAAGGGAGGAAGCUAUAUUUUCGAAGUAGAGGUGAAAAUUCAAAAGAUUUCGGGGAGAUAACUAGCAAGCGAAGGCGGCUUCCUAUAAUUGGUUUCUGACGCUUUAUUUACUAAAGCAUGGGUUUUCAAAUGGG